AUACGGAGGGUGCGAGCGUUAAUCGGAAUUACUGGGCGUAAAGCGUACGUAGGCGGUUGGUUAAGUUAGAUGUGAAAGCCCCGGGCUUAACCUGGGAACUGCAUUUAAAACUGGCGAACUAGAGUUGAGUAGAGGGGAGUGGAAUUUCAGGUGUAGCGGUGAAAUGCGUAGAGAUCUGAAGGAACACCAGUGGCGAAGGCGACUCCCUGGACUCGAACUGACGCUGAGGUACGAAAGCGUGGGUAGCAAACGGGAUUAGAAACCCCAGUAGUCCC
rnacentral:rRNA from 1 species